rnacentral:rRNA from 1 species
GAUGAACGUUAGCGGCAGGCCUAAUACAUGCAAGUCGAACGGUGUAGCAAUACACAGUGGCGCACGGGUGCGUAACACGUAUGCAACCUACCUUACAUUGGGGGAUAGCCUUUCGAAAGGGAGAUUAAUACCGCAUAAGACAGUAACUAGGCAUCUAGUAGCUGUUAAAGAUUUAUCGAUGUAAGCUGGGCAUGCGUCCAAUUAGUUAGUUGGCGAGGUAAUGGCUCACCAAGACGAUGAUUGGGAGGGGAACUGAGAGGUCAAUCCCCCACACUGGCACUGAGAUACGGGCCAGACUCCUACGGGAGGCAGCAGUAGGGAAUAUUGGGCAAUGGGCACAAGCCUGACCCAGCCAUGCCGCGUGCAGGAAGAAGGCGUUAUGCGUUGUAAACUGCUUUUAUACAGGAAGAAACGACCCUUGCGAGGGGCAUUGACGGUACUGUAUGAAUAAGCACCGGCUAACUCCGUGCCAGCCGCCGCUGUAAUAC